AGAGUUUGAUCCUGGCUCAGGAUGAACGCUGGCGGCGUGCUUAACACAUGCAAGUCGAACGAACCUUCGGGUUAGUGGCGGACGGGUGAGUAACGCGUGGGAAUCUGCCCUCAGGAGGGGGAUAACGGCUGGAAACGGCCGCUAAUACCCCAUAUGCCGAGAGGUGAAAUGAAUUUCGCCUGAGGAUGAGCCCGCGUCUGAUUAGCUUGUUGGUGAGGUAAUGGCUCACCAAGGCUUCGAUCAGUAGCUGGUCUGAGAGGAUGAUCAGCCACACUGGGACUGAGACACGGCCCAGACUCCUACGGGAGGCAGCAGUGGGGAAUUUUCCGCAAUGGGCGAAAGCCUGACGGAGCAACGCCGCGUGAGGGACGAAGGCCUCUGGGCUGUAAACCUCUUUUCUCAAGGAAGAAGAUAUGACGGUACUUGAGGAAUAAGCCACGGCUAAUUCCGUGCCAGCAGCCGCGGUAAUACGGGAGUGGCAAGCGUUAUCCGGAAUUAUUGGGCGUAAAGCGUCCGCAGGCGGCCUUUCAAGUCUGCUGUUAAAACGUGGAGCUUAACUCCAUCAUGGCAGUGGAAACUGAUUGGCUUGAGUAUGGUAGGGGCAGAGGGAAUUCCCGGUGUAGCGGUGAAAUGCGUAGAUAUCGGGAAGAACACCAGUGGCGAAGGCGCUCUGCUGGGCCAUAACUGACGCUCAUGGACGAAAGCCAGGGGAGCGAAAGGGAUUAGAUACCCCUGUAGUCCUGGCCGUAAACGAUGAACACUAGGUGUCGGGGGAAUCGACCCCCUCGGUGUCGUAGCUAACGCGUUAAGUGUUCCGCCUGGGGAGUACGCACGCAAGUGUGAAACUCAAAGGAAUUGACGGGGGCCCGCACAAGCGGUGGAGUAUGUGGUUUAAUUCGAUGCAACGCGAAGAACCUUACCAGGGUUUGACAUCCUGCGAACCUCUAAGAAAUUGGAGGGUGCCUUCGGGAACGCAGUGACAGGUGGUGCAUGGCUGUCGUCAGCUCGUGUCGUGAGAUGUUGGGUUAAGUCCCGCAACGAGCGCAACCCACGUUUUUAGUUGCCAGCAUUUAGUUGGGCACUCUAGAGAGACCGCCGGUGAUAAACCGGAGGAAGGUGUGGAUGACGUCAAGUCAUCAUGCCCCUUACAUCCUGGGCUACACACGUACUACAAUGCUACGGACAAAGGGCAGCAAACUCGCGAGAGCUAGCAAAUCCCAUAAACCGUGGCUCAGUUCAGAUCGUAGGCUGCAACUCGCCUACGUGAAGUAGGAAUCGCUAGUAAUCGCAGGUCAGCAUACUGCGGUGAAUACGUUCCCGGGCCUUGUACACACCGCCCGUCACACCAUGGAAGUUGGCCACGCCCGAAGUCGUUACUUUAACCCUUGUGGAGAAGGACGCCGAAGGUGGGGCUGAUGACUGGGGUGAAGUCGUAACAAGGUAGCCGUACCGGAAGGUGCGGCUG
rnacentral:rRNA from 1 species